GAUGAACGCUGGCGGCGUGCCUAAUACAUGCAAGUCGAGCGAACAGACGAGGAGCUUGCUCCUCUGACGUUAGCGGCGGACGGGUGAGUAACACGUGGAUAACCUACCUAUAAGACUGGGAUAACUUCGGGAAACCGGAGCUAAUACCGGAUAAUAUAUUGAACCGCAUGGUUCAAUAGUGAAAGACGGUUUUGCUGUCACUUAUAGAUGGAUCCGCGCCGCAUUAGCUAGUUGGUAAGGUAACGGCUCACCAAGGCAACGAUGCGUAGCCGACCUGAGAGGGUGAUCGGCCACACUGGAACUGAGACACGGUCCAGACUCCUACGGGAGGCAGCAGUAGGGAAUCUUCCGCAAUGGGCGAAAGCCUGACGGAGCAACGCCGCGUGAGUGAUGAAGGUUUUCGGAUCGUAAAACUCUGUUAUUAGGGAAGAACAAAUGUGUAAGUAACUAUGCACGUCUUGACGGUACCUAAUCAGAAAGCCACGGCUAACUACGUG
rnacentral:rRNA from 1 species